rnacentral:rRNA from 1 species
CCACGGGUGUUAAAAGGAAGUGAUUCCGGCGGAGGAUGGGCAUGCGGCGCAUUAGCUAGUUGGCGGGGUAACGGCCCACCAAGGCGACGAUGCGUAGGGGUUCUGAGAGGAAGGUCCCCCACACUGGUACUGAGACACGGACCAGACUCCUACGGGAGGCAGCAGUGAGGAAUAUUGGUCAAUGGGCGGGAGCCUGAACCAGCCAAGUCGCGUGAGGGAAGACGGUCCUAUGGAUUGUAAACCUCUUUAGGCGGGGAGCAAUGCCGGGCACGCGUGCCCGGAGGGAGAGUACCCGCAGAAUAAGCAUCGGCUAACUCCGUGCCAGCAGCCGCGGUAAUACGGAGGAUGCGAGCGUUAUCCGGAUUUAUUGGGUUUAAAGGGUGCGUAGGCGGAUUUUUAAGUCAGCGGUAAAAUGUCCGGGCUCAACCCGGGCCGGCCGUUGAAACUGGGGAUCUUGAGUGGGCGAGAAGUAUGCGGAAUGCGUGGUGUAGCGGUGAAAUGCAUAGAUAUCACGCAGAACUCCGAUUGCGAAGGCAGCAUACCGGCGCCCGACUGACGCUGAGGCACGAAAGCGUGGGGAUCGAACAGGAUUAGAUACCCUGGUAGUCCACGCAGCAAACGAUGAAUGCUAGUUGUCCGGUUCUUUGGGACUGGGUGAC